UACGAAGGGGCUAGCGUUGUUCGGAAUUACUGGGCGUAAAGCGCACGUAGGCGGACUAUUAAGUCAGGGGUGAAAUCCCGGAGCUCAACUCCGGAACUGCCUUUGAUACUGGUAGCCUAGAGAUCGGAAGAGGUGAGUGGAAUUCCCAGUGUAGAGGUGAAAUUCGUAGAUAUUGGGAAGAACACCAGUGGCGAAGGCGGCUCACUGGUCCGAUACUGACGCUGAGGUGCGAAAGCGUGGGAGCAAACAGG
rnacentral:rRNA from 1 species